GAAUAUUACUUUCUGCUCAGUUAUGCUCUGCUCGCCUUGGGAGGUGGCAUGACCAUGUUGGGUGCCUUUCCCGCAUCCUUUUUGUUGCCCGAUUAUCAAACUGCCAUUUUAGCGGGAAUUAGUUGUUUGUUUGAUAGUA
rnacentral:ribozyme from 1 species